CUCCUCUCCCGUGCACCUUCCAUACUACUUUUUGUUUACCUUUGUAUCUCUAUGAAGUAUAUGGACGUUCAUUCGGUUUCACUCUAGCCGGGCUCCUGAUACGGAUGUGAGAUGCAGGAACAGGACAGCACACAGAGGAAUUUAUAUAUCAGUCAUUUAAACAAAUGCCUAAAAAACAUUCACCAGGUACUAACGAAGGCCAAUGACAUCUUAAGCAGUAUCAGUCAGCCCUCCGUAUGCAGUGAGGUAUUGCUUUCUCCUGAAGGAGCAAAUUAUAUAUCAGGGGUGGUGGAAGUUUACAGAGUGUCAAAAAGAAUAGAAGGAGGGAUGACUGCAUUUAACAUUGUCAGUGAGAGUCUUCAACCAGUUCUCAAGGACAUAGAUUUAUCCUGGAAUAACCUACAGGCUUUUCUAUCUAUGUCUCCUUGUGUCCUACAUAGGCUGUAUUUUUUUCAUUGACCCUCAACAGCCUUCACAAUCAGCUUUGGAUUAUAAAGUUGAAGGCUUCCUUUCUGAUUCAACACACUGCGUGAAAAGAUGUUGUGGUGUUUGCCUGUUAGAGAGGCCAGAAGAAGGACAGCUUCUUUCAGAUCCAGCACACAGCAUGCUGAUAUAUGAAAGCCAUCUCUACCAUACAAGUUGUGCCAACUUCUGGAUGCACUGUGUGGAUUCAUCGCUGCCGGUUUUGCCCUGUCACAAUUGCCGUUAUUGCUUGAAACUAAACCAAGUGGAAAUAUGAAAUCUUGAAUGUCAUGGACUUGAAUAAUGUUUACUUGCCGUGGUCUUCAUCAUUUUAGUUUUUAUUUUAAAUAUUGUAUUUUUUUUAAAGAAUCUUGUUCACAAGUGGAGGGUAAAAAGGCUCUGUUGGUCCUUACAGCUUACUUCAGAGCUCUGUAAUGUUAUAUAAAAUGUUUUUCCAGGUGUCAUAUACUUUCUUCUUUCAGGCUUACGUGCUAAAUGCUAAAUUAUAUGUGUGUGGCUUAUUUUGCUGGACCCUAAGUGCAACUCAUCCUCAUGGGGCACCAACUAAUCUUCAGCAUAGAUUUUGGUUAUAAACCACAAGAUACAUUUUAAAGGGACAUCAAGCUCAAAAGUGAAAUGGACAUAAAUGCAUUUCCAUUUUUAAUAGAAAUGUUUUUGAAAUACACCUGUAAUAGCAAAAUGCUUCUAGUAAAAUCUAGCACUUAUUUAGUGAUCAUUUUUACUGUGCAAGGAUCAUAUGUGCAUAUGCCUUUUACACCUGCAUUAUUAAUACCACACCUGCUCAGACAGCAUAUAUUGCAUUUGUGAUGAUCACUCCUGGCUCUCUGAGCAGGCACAGUGUUUGAAUGUAGGUACACAAGUCAUAUGUACAUAUGCUUCAUGCACAGUAAAAUCUUUCACUGACCCUUUUAUCAGAAGCAUUUUUGCAAAUACAUGUGUAAAACAAAUAUGCUUCAUUGUGCACAAUUCAAUUUUCAGUUUUAUGUCUCUUUAAUAAAAUAAAAAUGAUUAUGUGACGUACAGGGUUAAACUACCCUGUACCAGUUACUAGUUUGGCACAGUCUAGCCACUCCAGGCAAGCCUGUGACUUACUUGAAAGGGUGCAAGGGUUAACAAACAUUCUUUAGACUAUACUAGACCUUAGAAAGUGCCCAAAGUCCCCUUUAAGGCCACUCAUACUAAACUAUCUCUGCUUCUACCACUUUAAUAUUAUUAUAUGGGAAAUCCUUAGGAAAAGCCAAGACUAAUUAUUAUUAUUAUCGGUUAUUUGCAGAGCGCCAACAGAUUCUGCAGCGCUAAUAGAUUAAAGAUCCCAAAACACAAUUGGCAAAAAUCUAUCUAAAAACACUGUAUUGUUACUUACCAGUCUCUUCAGUAAUGAGGCAAAAUCUUAUUAAAGGAACAUUUAUUAUGAACAAAAUGCAUUUAUAUUUAAAAAAAAAAAAAAAGUUAGCAAACAAUUAUACAAAGCAACAGUUUUUAAAAGAAAAAUGAGUAAAAACAGAACCUAAUACUGUACUAGCCUAGAUAUCUGUGCAAAGGGAGCUGGCAAGAAAAGACCGUCACUUACACUGUUUUCACGCAGUCUCCUAUGUAAAAUUUCAGAAUGAUGUUGCUGAAAUCACAGUUGAAUAAAUUUUUUCCGUCUGGUUUCUGACCAGGCCCCUUCCUGAGUGGGCAAGGAAAGUAACCAUAAAGCCAUAAAAAGCUCUGCAACCCUGGCUGGAAUAAUAGAACAGUUUAUAAUUUUUUUGUUAUGUAUACUCAGUACAUACACACAUAUAAGCAAUCCCUCUGUGACAUCAUAAGGUCAUGUCUGUCAUCCCGUACCAUAAAUAUGUUUAAAGCAUGUUGUAAGAUAUCUUAGAGUGUUACCGUUAAUUGACCUUAGGCCUGUGCCUUGACACUAGUUUAUGUCACUUUGUUGUGGACAUCUUGGGGCCAUAAACUGAGAUUAGGCACAAGGCUUCUGGCUACCUGUAAUAAAAUGUGCUCAAGUAAAACCUAAAAACCAUUUAUGACAGGGUGUUUGUUUUUUAAUGAUUAACCAAGGGAAAUACUUGGUCUGGAAAAAAACAAACAAAAAAAAACCAAACUAAAUACCUAGCAGACAGAGAAAAAGUUAACCCCUUACAUCUAAAAUCAUGAGCGCUUCGUGACAGAUUAUAAAGAUGUAAACUAACCAAAUUUAAAUGAGCAAAGAAAAUAAACUGCUUUAAUUGAUCAAGCCAUUUUCUACUAAAACACAUACUAUUUGAUAAUUAACAUAAGUAUAGUGGAUAGUAAUGCAUGUGCCCAUGCUAUAAUUAAAAAACAUACCUAUGCCAACCAAUGCAGUGCAGACUUAAGCCAUGCAUAAGUGGAGAGGCUACAUAUAUAAUAUUACUCUAACGAUUGCAUGUAAGAGUUGUGUACAUGCAUUUUAGCAGAAAAUUAAAUGGCAAGGUUACUUUAGAUGUGUUUCAUUUCUGUGCACCUCAUCCCUGAUACGGUAUCCUUUAGGCCUUGUUCAGUUUUAUUGUAGGUUUGGCAAUAUAGUAAAGUGGUUCCAGAAUAUAAAAUGUCAACAACAGUGAGUCUACACCUAACACAAGGCUCCAUGUUGUAUUAUCAGAUGAAGAUGAUACUAAAUCUAUCUUUUAUUUACUCUCUGUGAGACAGUCUGAAUAAAGUUUAUCAUUUUAAAUAUACAAAAUGGCCUUGAUAAUUCAUUCAAAAGGAUUCAACAUGGAACUUUGAUGCAGGGAUUGUUCCUCAAAAGUCACAGCAGGUACAUUAUUUAAAUAAUAUAGCUACACCUUAAAAGAAAUAAUCAUUUGUUUAUAGGGAUAUGAAACCAAAAAAUGUUUUCUUGUGAUUCAGACAGAGCAGACCAUUUUAAAGAUGUACUUCUAUUAUCAAAUCUGCUUUGUUCCCAUGAUAUUCUGUGUUGAAGAGAUACCUAGGUAGGCAUCUGGAACACUACAUGGCAGGAAAUAGUGCUGCCAUCUGGUGCUCUUGCAAAUAGAUAACAUUCUUGCAAAAUGCUGCCAUAAAGUGCUCCAGAAAUGGACCUUCUCCUAAGCGUACAUCCCUGUUUUCAACAAAAGAUACUAAGAGUACAAAUUUAAAUUGGUAAUAGAGUUAAAUUAAAGAGACAUUUUUUAUUAGUUACUUCUUGUACAUUACGCGCAUCCUCUAAUUCAGAUACGCUCAUCUCCACCUCUGAUAUUCUAUUAGAGAACUGUCUUAUUAUCUCUGCUAUUUCUAGUUUUACUGACUCAAACUGAGGCGUUAUUAAUUCUGCUAAUUGUUUAUGUGUCUGUGCUAUUACUACUUGAGGAUUGUGCUGUUAGUGUGUCCUCUAAACAUGCAUCAGGCCCCGUUUAUACAUUUGUUGUCUUUAACGGCAUAGCUGGUGAUCUUGACUUUGUAUUUAUAAUGUAUAUUUGUCCAUUAAAUGUGAUAGACCUUAAACAAACAA